rnacentral:rRNA from 1 species
GUCUAUUUGAAGAUAUAAAUAGUCUAGCCUGCUCACUGGUAAAUUUACUUAAGAGCCGCGGUAUACUGACCGUGCAAAGGUAGCAUAAUCAUUAGUUUUUUAAUUGGGAACUGGUAUGAAGGGUUGGACAAAGGAAGGACUGUCUUUAAAAUAUAAUUUGAAAUUUACUUUUAAGUGAAAAGGCUUAAAUAUAUCUAGGGGACGAUAAGACCCUAUAAAGCUUUAUAUAUUAUUUAGAUUUGGUUGAUUUAUAAAAUAAAAAUUAGGUUUGAUUAUUUUAUUUUGUUGGGGCGACAUAAGUAUAAUUUAUAUUAACUGCUUAGAAAAUAUACAAUUAUAAGUGAUUUUAAUGUGCAUGAUCCUAUUUAAAGAUUAAAAGACUAAGUUACUUUAGGGAUAACAGCGUUAUUUCUUUUGAGAGUUCAUAUCGAAAAAGAAGUUUGCGACCUCGAUGUUGAAUUAAAAUAUCUAUAUAAUGCAGCUGUUAUAAGAGAAGGUC